UGCCCAGCAACUCCUAUCCCUACCUCCACGCGGUACCGGCCGGAAACUAUGAGCAACCUUAAGGAAGAUCGGGUAACCAACCCCGGUGGGAACUUUGGUCGUAGGCUGACAGGGAAGG
rfam:Aedes albopictus isolate Foshan contig36200, whole genome shotgun sequence.